UCUCUGUGAAAGACAUGGGUAGUGAGAUGUUAAUUUUACUUGUCUCACUACCUUGUCUUUCAUGAAGCA
rnacentral:pre_miRNA from 1 species